AUCUGCCCUGAGGCCAGGGAAGAAUUGCUGCCCAGAGGAAAAGAAGUGCAAACCAGCAGUUAUUGAAGCACUGAUGGAUUUUUAGAUGGUUGGUGCUGAAGCACCUCAAUGUUCCACAGAAUAUUCUGAGCUGGAAGGGACCCACAAGGAUCAUUGAAUCCAGCUCUUAGGUGGCAUCACUUGGCACUGUCAGCUGAGCAACCUUCUUGGCUGCUCAUUAACUUCUGCUGCUCAGGAGAUAUUAACAAAACCACAAGUGCACGGCUCAGCUCCGAUAUCCAACCCUUCCACAUCCCACCAGGAUCCCAGCUGGUGCACUUGCUGUACAAGGAUCUCCACGGGGAGA
rnacentral:lncRNA from 1 species